rnacentral:rRNA from 1 species
UACGUAGGGCGCGAGCGUUGUCCGGAAUUAUUGGGCGUAAAGAGCUCGUAGGCGGCCUGUUGCGUCCGCUGUGAAAGCCCGGGGCUUAACUCCGGGUCUGCAUUCGAUACGGGCAGGCUAGAGUGUGGUAGGGGAGAUCGGAAUUCCUGGUGUAGCGGUGAAAUGCGCAGAUAUCAGGAGGAACACCGGUGGCGAAGGCGGAUCUCUGGGCCA